UAGUGCAGAGGUUAGCAUGUCCGCCUAUGACGCUGAACGCCUGGGUUCGAAUCCCGG
rnacentral:tRNA from 1 species